rnacentral:rRNA from 1 species
UACGUAGGGGCCAAGCGUUUGUUCGGAUUUACUGGGCGUAAAGGGCGCGUAGGCGGCUUAACAAGUCACUUGUGAAAUCUCCGGGCUUAACUCGGAACGGCCAAGUGAAACUGUCAAGCUAGAGUGCAGAAGGGGCAAUCGGAAUUCUUGGUGUAGCGGUGAAAUGCGUAGAUAUCAAGAGGAACACCUGAGGUGAAGACGGGUUGCUGGGCUGACACUGACGCUGAGGCGCGAAAGCCAGGGGAGCAAACGGG